UCUUUUCCCAAAUCCCUCUUUUAAACACUAGUGCCGUCUCCAACCCCAUUUACUCCCCCAUAUCUCCACUUCCCAUCCCAUUAUGUAAUUAGCCUCCAAUCUUAACCUCUAUUGCAAAUCUCUAUUUGAUACGAAAAUAUAAUUAUGGGACGCAGAAGGCUAUAUCCUUAGAUAUAUGCAAACGGAUAAAAGUAUAGACUGGUUUUGCUCAAUCAGUAAUGACGGGUCUUCAACCAUGAAGAGGUACAUGCAUGAAGGUGGAAACAAAUUCAAGAAUAACAUUACUAGAUGAGUGAAGCUACAUUAGCCAAUGAGGAAGCAACAUACUUUUUUCUUAUUAAUUUAUCAUGUUUAUGUGUUGUAAUCACUUUCAUUUUGAAUAGAUUUUUUUUUAAAAAAAAUUAAAGGAAUUUGUAAUGGAAUAUUAUCUCAAUUCAA